GCGAUCGUAGCUCAGCUGGUUAGAGCAUCGGUUUGUGGUACCGAGGGUCGGGGGUUCAAGUCCCCUCGAUCGCCCCA
rnacentral:tRNA from 2 species